UGGGAUCAAGUAUUGGAUUAUAUUAUAUGAGUCUGCCAUAUAAUCCAGUUCAAAGCAAAUAUGGCAGUGUAGAUGGGGCCUUUUAUCAGGAAGGGACCUCAUGGGCCAUCAGUUACAGUUCCCCUGCUCAGUGCAAGGUUUUCAGCUAAAGCAGUGGUUCUCAACUUGUGGGUCCCCAGGUGUUUUGGCCUACAACUUGCAGAAAUCCCAACUGUUAGAAUUUCUGGGAGUUGAAGGUCAAAACAUCUGAGACCCACAGGUUGAGAACCACUGAGUUAAAGCAUUUUUAGCUGUCUAGCCCACCAUCACUUUAAGUAACUGGUUCCAUUGCGAAGCAACUCUCAUUGUUAAGAAAUUCCUACUAAUGUUGAAUCAAAAUUUACUUUCCUGUAAUUUAAAAUCAUUAAACCUAGAUUCCCCCAGAGGUAGCAGAGAUGAAGCCUUUACCACGUUGUGGUAGUUCUAGAGGUGUUUAAAGAGUGUGAUCAUGUUACCCUUCAAUCUUCUUUUCACCAAGCUGAACAUGCCCAGAUCCUUCAAACUUUCAUCACAUGUUUUGUUUUCCAUAUCUCUUAUCAUCUUCAUUGCUCUUCUCUGAACGCAGUCCAACUUGUUCGUUCUUAGAAUGAGGAACCCAGAACUGAACUUUGCUGCAGCAUUGUACUGUUGGCUCAUGUUCAAUUUAGGAUCAACAUAUCCAAUUCAGAAAUUAUUUAAGGGGAAAUACAAGACAGGUACAACUGAAAAACAUAUUGUCACCUGCCUAAAAUUCUGACAACUAGGCAGAGCCAAUGCACACUCAGUGACUUGUCCAGACACUCUAAGGGCACUUCUGCACAAGCAUUUAAUCAGAAGUAUAAAGAGAGUUGGCAAAUAGAGGGAGAAAACGUGGAGGCAGUGACAGACUUUAUAUUUCUAGGCGCGAAGAUCACUGCAGAUGCAGACUGCAGCCAGGAAAUCAGAAGACAUUUACUUCUUGGGAGGAGAGCAAUGGCCAACCGUAGCAAAAUAGUGAAGAGCAGAACCAUCACACUGGCAACGAAGGUCCGCAUAAUCAAAGCAAUGGUAUUCCCCAUAGUAACCUAUGGAUGCGAGAACUGGACCUUAAGGAAGGCUGAGCGAAGGAAGAUAGACGCUUUUGAACUCUGGUGCUGGAGGAAAAUCCUGAGAGUGCCUUGGACCGCAAGAAGAUCCAACCAGUCCAUCCUCCAGGAAAUAAUGCCGGCUGCUCACUGGAGGGAAGGAUAUUAGAGGCAAAGUUGAAGUAUUUUGGCCACAUCAUGAGAAGGCAGGAAAGCUUGGAAAAGAUCACGAUGCUGGGGAAAAUGGAAGGAAAAAGGAAGAGAGGCCGACCAAGGGCAAGAUGGAUGGACGGUAUCUUUGAAGUGACUGGGUUUUACCUUGAAGGAACUGGGGGCGGUGACGGCCGACAGGGAGCUCUGGCGUGGACUGGUCCAUGAGGUCACGAAGAGUCGGAGACAACUAAACGACUGAGCAGCAGCAGCAUAAAGAGAGUUUUAAAAAUCUGUUACCUUCCAGAGAGUUGUGCCUGGGAUAUAAUGGGAUUUGUUGUAGCACAUUUUUCAGACUUUCUCUGGACUUUUUAAAGCAUGGGUUUUCUCUGUUUAAUGCAUUUCUGCCGGAUUAUGUGUGUGCGUCGUUUGCCCCCUCCCGAAUCCACUUCAAUGUGGAUUAUAAGGUCUGUGUAGACCGAAGAAGCCCUUCAAACUGCAGAAUUAUAGUAGUUUGAUAUCAGUUUUAACCGCCAUGGCUUCAUCCUCUGGGAUCUUGUAAUUGAUGUUUUUUUGUGUAAUGGAAAUCCGCUGAUAGAGAGAGGUAAAUAUCUCACAAAACUACUGAGCUAUAACAGUUAAUGGUCACACCAAAAGUCCACCACAACAAGUCAUGUUCUUAGGGGAUGCUCCAAGAAUGCUCCCUAAGUCCUUUAUAAACCAUGUCUCUUAAGUGGCAAAGAAAAGAAAAGGCAAAUAUCUCAGGAUUUCUGCCCCCAUGUUUCAUCAUCUUUCAGACAAAGCAACAUGUUGUUUUGGAAUCACACUCCCUAAGUGUAAUACAAAUUGCCUUAGCAAGCGCCUUCCUCUUCUCCCUUGCUGUGCUGUGAGCCAAACUGUACCGCAGUGUCUGAGGUGGUUAUUAGUUCACUGGUUCAAAAAAGGGAGGGGGGCUACUGAAGUUAUAAAGCUUUAAUUUGGCAUUAACUCAAGUGGAAACUCUGCAAGACUGCCAACAUCUACACAUACAGGCAUUCACCCAUAUUUUUUUAAAACUGUUAAUGGGUGUUAUAUUAAAUUAAAAAUAAAACCAACUUUUAAAAACUCAUGAAACUCUUUGGGACUGAAGAAAAUUAUGGGUUGUUUUUGUUUAGUAUUAUAUUUUUACUAGCUGCCCAGUUCCCAUUUCCCCCACUCCACCUCUUUACAAUAAUUGAGUGGAGCUUUAAACUUGAAAACACAGGAAUGUAAUAGCCAGAGGGAAAGUCGCCCCUGCCCCUGCCUAUGCAAAUCUGGAUGUGAGAAUCCUAAUUUAAAAAAGAGGCAAGAUGCAUUUUCCCACUGUAUGUUAUGACUGGGUUCUACAAGUAAAAUACAUAUCCAAAUGCAAUUUGGGGUUUAUAGAUAGUUAUGGAGGACAUGACUUGAGAGUUUUCAGAUCUACCCCAGGUAAUGUAUUUUGAUAUGUUUGCCGCUUGUUCUCUGGAAAGACUGCUUUUAAAGUGCAUAAAUUUACUCAUUUGUGCUUGAUUGGUCCCCAUGUAUUUUAAUUCUGUUCUCGUUCUGUGAUCCAGCGUAAUGUAGUGGUUUCAGUGCUAAACUUGGGCCCCUUCUACACUGCCAUAUAAAAUCCAGGAUAUCUGCUUUGAACUGGAUUAUAUGGCAGUGUAGACUGAGAUAAUCCAGUUCAAAGCAGUUAAUGUGGAUUAUCUGCUGACCUGAAGGUUGCCGGUUUGAAUCCAACCCUGGGAGAGCGCGGAUGAGCUUCCUCUAUCAGCUCCAGCUCCAUGUGGGGACAUGAGAGAAGCCUCCCAUAAGGAUGGUAAAAACAUCAAAAUAUCCGGGUGUCCCCUGGGCAACCUCCUUGCAGAUGGCCAAUUCUCUCACACCAGAAAUGACUUGCAGUUUCUCAAGUUGCUUUUGACAAGAAAAAAAAUCUGCUUUCAUAAUCUGGAUUAUAUAGCAGUGUAAGGUAAAGGUAAAGGUUUUUCCCUGACAUUAAGUCUAGUCAUGUGUGACUCUGGGGGUUGGUGCUCAUCUCCAUUUCUAAGCUGAAAAGCAAGCAUUGUCCAUAGACACCUCCUAGGUCAUGUGGCCAGCAUGACUGCAUAGAGUGCCGUUAGAUGGGUCCUAAAUUGCUGCUCAGCUAUGGAAACCCACCGGGUAACUUAUACUCUCUCAGCAAUACGUUGCCUUGAAUAAAUCUUUAUUUAUUAUUUAUUUACGUCAUUUCUAUCCCACCUUUCUCACCCGAAGGGACUCAAGGCAGCUUACAGACCUGGCAAAAAUUCAAUGCCAAUAAAUCUUGCUAAGAAAAUUCUGUGGUGGGAUCAUCAAAAUGGAUUAGAAGGCGUACAGCAGCAAUGACAAUUUUUUCCUGUGUGAGGUUGUAGGUAGCCAACACUUGAACUGAAAAGGCCAGAAUCUGAGACCUUUAGUGGGGACCUAAACUGACAGAGGCUUCAGAGGCACUUAUCUUUGUAGUAAGUUGAACUCACUGUUAAUGUAUGAGGAUUUGUUUAAUAUAAAGAUUUAAUAUAUGAGAACAGUUGACAUGCAUUCAGGGAUUUAGUUAUAUUGAGUGAGCAGCAAGGGAAAUACCCCUCUUCCAUUGUCUCUCUGUUACCACUCAUAAAAUAGAGUUUAUAUGGGAUCAAAUUUGCUUAGGCCCAUCUCAGACACUAAACUCCAAAGUACAGACUUGUUCAGACAAAUAUAAAAUGUCCUAUAUUUAGUGUUUCCUAUCCCCCCCCCUUUUUAAAAAAAGCAAAUGUCAGUCUUAUAGGUAUAUAGGCCAAGUUACUGCUCUACUGUAAAUUUAUUUACUGUACUUGGUCUUAACAUUUGUUUUCCUAGUUUUUAAAUUCCCAGUUCUGUUCAAAUUGGGAUGUUUAAGGUACACAGAGUUCUAGAGAGCCUCUAGAGUUUGAUUUUCCAAAGGCAGCCAAGGUAGGCUCAAGCAUUUCUUUCACUUAGCUCACUUGCUCCACAAAUGAUCA